rnacentral:lncRNA from 1 species
CCCCCCCGCCCCCGACACCCAAGCGAGGGACGGGGGGAGGGGGGGGGGGCGGGUGGAGAGAGAGAGAGAGAGAGGAGGACCCGCCGGGGAGCGCUCCCUUUGACAAGGCGGGGGGAGCCGUAGCAGCAGAAGCCACGUCGCGGGUCCGCCUUCGCGUCUUUUGUCUGCCGCGUUCUCCGGACAGCGCCGAGGCAGCUUCCCUCGCCCGGGCUCUUAACUUUUGCGACUACCCAGAAGAAAGGAGCUCUGAGGAAGGAAAGGUAGCGGCUUCACUCCCGCCACGCCACCAGCCGGGUUCAGACUCUCGCCGGGCGACUGGCACGUUUGAAAGAGACCCUUCUGAGCUGCUUGCCUCCUGAGGGGCAAAGCCGUUCCCUGGGCAGCACCAGCGAAGCCAUGGGGGCUCAUUUAAUGAUUGCCAGCAACCUCUAACGUCCCGUUAUAGCAAAGUCUCUCUCUCUCUCUCUCUGGCAUAAACUACAACACACAUGCACAUACGAUAAACAAAGACCGCAUACUCGAAUUUCACACACACUCAUGAUAUGAGAUAUAAGGGAAAGGAUGUCACAGCGUUAAAAGUGUGGGAGGGUAUGUGUGUGUUAACCUAUCCAUGUAUAUUUUUAUGCUGGAUAUCUAUAGAUUUAUGUAAAUGUACAUUAAGUAGCUUUAUAUGUAACUGCAAUCUGUAUUUAUGUACCCUAUAUGAUCUAUGGCCAGGGGUUUCUUUACCUGCUAACUACAAAGCUUCCUUUGAAGUUUUGUUCUGUUGCUUUUUUACAGAACAAAGCUUCAGAGGAAAAGAACUAAAUAUCAAACCGGCCUUCAGACAUUACUAGGUGUCAAAUGCCAUCCUGACUCACUUAAUUUGCUGCUUGUGUCUACUAACCAACCACUAUCUCUUUAUCUUGGGACUAUGUAUAGAUGGCUGUGAUGUAGUCCCACUCUUAUGUCUGAGGAAGUAGAUUUGAUCCGUGAAAGCUCACAUUAAAGUAUAGCAGUUAGACUUUAAGGUACCACAACAUUUUGUCUUCUUUAAUUUGCUUUUGCUUUUGCUUCUUUUCUGAUAUGCAUCUAUAUAAACGUAUGGGUAUAUGAAGUUAUCUCCAAUGU